UCAAACAGCUGGUGAAUUAGCUCAAAUGGUAGAGCGCUCGCUUAUCAAUGGAGAGGUAUAACGUUAGGUGGUGGUCCGAAGCAUCGUAUCUGCUAUAGCUUUCGAGAUGAUCGGUCUCUGGCGAGGGAGGAGCUGGUUUUUACAUUUUAUUUAUCCUGAACACAUUCCCGUUUGUUGGCAAUGUCAAUUAUUGCAAAUUUUUUCAAAAUACUUUUAUGUUCGCUAGUUGGACAGGCAAACGCUACCAAGUACUAAAUAGUAAACCAAUCAAAACUCGUGUACUAUCCAGGUACCAUCAUCUGCUGAUCACGUCUGCCAAUCACGUUCUCCGUGCCUAAGGUACGUAAACACAACUGGCGACAACUCGAGAGAGAUCUCAGUCUGAAACUGCAAUCAGAUCUAUUCAGCUCCUCUCCUGUGUCCUGCUCCCAGAGAUCAAUCAAGUGCUAUACACCAUGCAUUGGCUCAGCUGAUUCACUCUCAUGCGAGGAGAAACAUCCAACCCACUUUGGACUAGCCCUGCCGUCACUAUUAGACAUUGAGACCUGUUAUUUUCUUUGUAUGUUUUGUCUUACAGUCUGUACACCUUCUAGUGCAUUUUAGAGUUGAAGAGCACAAACUACAGAUAAACAUGCUUGUUAGAGCAUCUCGAAGACUAAAUUCAAUAGAUUCAGUUUGACAAGGUGAAAAACUGAUUGUUUUACUAUUGUAACAUGCAGUUAGUGCCCCCCAGGCACUUCUCUCUCUAAAUACAUUGAUUGGUAGGUUACACUAUAUUUAGAUUGUUCAAAUACUGCCUGAGGCACCUUUGCUAUUUGUCUCCAUACUCAAUAAAUGGUGAGACACAAAA